CCUACGGGAGGCAGCAGUGAGGAAUAUUGGUCAAUGGGCGAGAGCCUGAACCAGCCAAGUCGCGUGAGGGAGUACUGCCCUAUGGGUUGUAAACCUCUUUUGUCGGGGAGCAAAAGCCGGACGUGUCCGGCUGUGAGAGUACCCGAAGAAAAAGCAUCGGCUAACUCCGUGCCAGCAGCCGCGGUAAUACGGAGGAUGCGAGCGUUAUCCGGAUUUAUUGGGGUUAAAGGGUGCGCAGGCGGAUUUUUAAGUCAGCGGUCAAAUCGUGGGGCUCAACCCCAUCCAGCCGUUGAAACUGGGGAUCUAGAGUGUGCGAGAGGUAUGCGGAAUGCGUGGUGUAGCGGUGAAAUGCAUAGAUAUCACGCAGAACCCCGAUUGCGAAGGAAGCAUACCGGUGCACAACUGACGCUCAGGCACGAAAGCGUGGGUAUCGAACAGGAUUAGAUACCCGUGUAGUC
rnacentral:rRNA from 1 species